UUUUUUAAUGUAGGUGAAUGAAAUGAACUUGUGGAGUAAAUUGAUGACUUUAUGUAUUUCUCUUCUAAUAUCUGUAGUGGAGUUUGAUAGUGUGUGCUGUUUUGCUGGGCUUACUGACUGCUGCAUGGAUUUUCUCGACUUGUAUGUUGAAGGGGUAGCUUUACAGUAUUUUGUCUAAUUUUCGCUUUCAGUUAAUCCUCAAACUCAGCUCAAUUUAGAUUAAAUGUAAAAUUG
rnacentral:misc_RNA from 1 species